rnacentral:rRNA from 1 species
AUUGAACGCUGGCGGAAUGCUUUACACAUGCAAGUCGAACGGCAGCACGGACUUCGGUCUGGUGGCGAGUGGCGAACGGGUGAGUAAUAUAUCGGAACGUGCCCAGUCGUGGGGGAUAACGUAGCGAAAGCUACGCUAAUACCGCAUACGAUCUACGGAUGAAAGCGGGGGAUCGCAAGACCUCGCGCGAUUGGAGCGGCCGAUAUCAGAUUAGGUAGUUGGUGAGGGAAAGGCUCACCAAGCCGACGAUCUGUAGCUGGUCUGAGAGGACGGCCAGCCACACUGGGACUGAGACACGGCCCAGACUCCGACGGGAGGCAGCAGUGGGGAAUUUUGGACAAUGGACGCAAGUCUGAUCCAGCCAUUCCGCGUGCAGGACGAAGGCCUUCGGGUUGUAAACUGCUUUUGUACAGAACGAAAAGGUCUCUAUUAAUACUAGGGGCUCAUGACGGUACUGUAAGAAUAAGCACCGGCUAACUACGUGCCAGCCGCCGCCGUAA